UGGGGAAUAUUGCACAAUGGGCGCAAGCCUGAUGCAGCCAUGCCGCGUGUAUGAAGAAGGCCUUCGGGUUGUAAAGUACUUUCAGCGGGGAGGAAGGGAGUAAAGUUAAUACCUUUGCUCAUUGACGUUACCCGCAGAAGAAGCACCGGCUAACUCCGUGCCAGCAGCCGCGGUAAUACGGAGGGUGCAAGCGUUAAUCGGAAUUACUGGGCGUAAAGCGCACGCAGGCGGUUUGUUAAGUCAGAUGUGAAAUCCUCGGGCUCAACCUGGGAACUGCAUCUGAUACUGGCAAGCUUGAGUCUCGUAGAGGGGGGUAGAAUUCCAGGUGUAGCGGUGAAAUGCGUAGAGAUGUGGAGGAAUACCGGUGGCGAAGGCGGCCCCCUGGACGAAGACUGACGCUCAGGUGCGAAAGCGUGGGGAGCAAACAGG
rnacentral:rRNA from 1 species